UUAACUCAAAUUUGUAUGGAGUUGGGAAGUUUGCGUACGUUUGCCGCUAGGGGCGCAGUUCCAACUCCAUGUACAAAUUUGAGUUA
rnacentral:pre_miRNA from 1 species